CCCCAACCUCACUUCUCUCCAUCUUCUUCCUCCCCUGAUCCCCUCCACUUCCUUCCUCCCGGCUAACUCCCCUGAUCCAACCCACCUGCCACCUCUCCUGCCUCCAGUCCUCCUCACGACGGACCUCAACCCGGCCUCCCACCGCCAGGCCGGCUCUGGUGCCCCACCUCCUUCCCCACCUUCCCCGUCCCAAAUCUCUAAUGCCAGCCACUCCGCCGGCCGAUGCGCCUCAGCACUCCCCUCCCACCGCACCUCAUCGGCCUCCUAAGGGUCCCCGACAACCCUUGUUCGUCCCUGUCGUCCCCUGCCGUCAGAUCCGAGGGGAGCGCCAUGGUUGGGGCCCCCGAUCCCCGCCGCCACCAGCCUAUCACCCCAGAACGAGGCCGACGAUGCCUGGCUGACUCCAUCCACCCCAGGCCGGAUCCGAGGCCCUCCUGCCCCCCCUGCGCCACCAGCCGCGGCCAUCGGCCUCCCCAUCCUGCAAAACGGCGAGGCCCAGGAGCUUUGGUGCGGGCAGGGCCCCGGGAAGGAGUGAGGCCCGAUGAAAGCUGCGGGAGGCGACGAUCUACCCCGAUCUGGCUUCCUCCGGCGCCUGCAUCUCAUCCACGCCAAAAUCCCAGCCUCCCUUCCCAACCAGGCUCACGUUCGGCCUCCCUCGUCGUCGGCCACGAUGCCAUAAACAUUGCCGCGACGCCCCCUGGAGCGAGCGUUUGCAAUGCUCCGUUCGUGGCAUAACCAAUUGCAGUCCAGCCGUCCCAAACUUGCAGUGCGCUGAGACCGGGCAAGCCAUGCGGUUCCGCAUUCUGGGCAUCCCAGUAGUCAGGGCCAACCCCCAACACCCCUGAGUGGCUUGCCUUGAAUUUUUGUUUGUGUUUUAAGGUGGUUCAUGGGCGUUGGUGUGCAGUGCGGCACCCAUGUGCCUACUGUCCGCGAAGAUGGGGGUAGGAUGAUGGUGUUUUCUGUGUGUGUAUCUCUACUCCUAAUGGAGCAGUUGGUAGUCUCGCUUCCAGGUUUUUUUCGUCCCACCACUUCGUCCGGUUUUUUUUCGUCCUGGAAAAACCUACGAAAAAAACCAGGACUCGCACGCACGAGCGAGACUGCCCUCGAGCGAAAUCAAAUGAACGAGGCCCCCUCGACUCCUUUCUCGAUCUGUUUCCUAGGGUGUGAACGCCGCCGCCGCUGAUCCCAUCUUCCCCAGCGCUUAGAUCCGCAGCCGCCGGCCAUCGAGGUCGUCCAUGGAGGUCCGACCCUCCCUUUAGCCAUGGACUGAGACGCCCGAAACCCUAGCUACCCGUGGAGGUCCAACGCCUCAACCUCCAAGGAAAGGACGCGCGCCGGCUGCAGGCCAUCUCCGGCGACCUCCGACCAUGGUUGCUCGGAUCUGGACCAGCUGCUGCUCCUACUGCUUCAGGUGGACGAGGACGAGCCCUCCCUCAUGGCUGCUGCGGCUGCCUACUCCCUUGGUCACCACGCCCCUCCCGUGCCUGGGGUCUCCUUUCUCUCCCGCAGCGGCCGCAGUAGGCGCGUGUGGCUAGAAGGGUUGAGGGAGCGAGGUCAGUGCCCUCAGGGCGGACGCGGCUGGAGGUCAACGACGAGCAAGGGGCACGGCGGCGGCAGGUGGCUGCUGUAGCAGAACCAGCCAUCUUCCCGAUCCAGGCUGCCCAGGCAGGUUCCAGCCGGGCAUCCGCUGGCCACGCGCAUAAAUGUAUCAGGAAUGAGCCGGCCGUUCUACAGUUUGGAAUAUAAUCGGACGAAGAGCGGAGGAAAGUGGACCAUGAACAAUGGCGUGGCUCCGUAAUGUGGGACACCUCGCCAUUGAGGCGAGCGGCGGCUGCAUAUCCCACACCACACUUACCAUCUGCACGGGGGGCCAUGGCCAAGCGAUGAAUUUUGCUCUGCACCUAGCUGGUAGUUUCUGCCUUGGCCUGCUCUUGACCAGCGGGAUGUGAACAUUGUCCGAGGUUGCCAAACCAGAUGAAAGAACAGGGAAAGACAUUGAGCUCACUGCCAAAGAUUGUUAUUCUGCGAAGAUAUAUCUCAUCUCUAAUUAUAGUAUUUCGUAGUGUCAUGCUGAUUAUAUAGUUCAUCUUUGGCCUUGCACCGUGGUUGUGGUAAUAUUUGUUGUUUUUUCCUACCUGUACAGUUUAGGUCGGGUUUGAUCAUCUCCCCAGUACCCCAUGCCUGGCUCCCUUAAUGUUCAUAUUCCACAUUUCCUUUUUCACUAACCAGUCUCUCCAGUCUGACCUAUGCGUUUGUGUUAAUGUGUCAACAAACUUAAUUUAUUUGAAAACUAGACAUUGCAUUUCAAAAUUCGUUACAGUAUAAAGAACAAGAAAUCCAUCAUUGCAAAGAUGACAAAUAUAUAACAAAAGCAUGCACUGAACUAUUCCGAUUGUUUUUUUUAGAAUAACAAACUCAUGAGUUGGUUCAGGUAGAUAUGCGACUAUGUCAUCGACAUCGAUAUAACAAUAUAUAUUCAUUGGUCCAUUUCAAACAAUCAGAAUAUAUACUUAUGUGAAGCAGAGAGGGCACCAUGGCGAAGGUGAGGUGGGCAUCAUCCAGUUUUAAAGGGGAGGGCUCCAGCAAGAAAUGUACUGCUACGGCGAGAAACCGAGCUGGAAAGGGAGCGUCCAGCAGAAAAAUGGCAGGGUGCGUCAGGGGGUGGCAUUUUGCAGAAUGGUCUGGGGAGGUUCGCAACAUUGUCUACUCAUCUGAUGGGAAAAUCUCUAUCUGUUGCGUAUCGUGUGACUAUAGAACUGAUGCAGAGGUGCCCUUCUUUGCUUGGGAGUUUGAAUCCGGUUUGGCUCUCACCGAUCUUGCCUGCUCAGUUUUUGAGUGUAUAACCAGUUUGUAGGUCCUACUAUUUGAUCAGUGGAUGCGACUGAUGGGGGCAUGGAGAUGAUGGCGAGGCAUCGUGUUGUGGUGGCGGUGAUGAAGGUAACCUCGUCGAUGGCGGCGGCGACGGGUGGCUGUUGACGAAAGCGAUUCGGGGAUGGGGGAUGUGGAGUGGCAAGGGAUGGAGGCGUAGAACUGCAGCCGGGGAGACGGAGUGGCGGCAAGAUUGGACGAGCUCGCCUGCGGAGUGCGUGGGCAAGAUUUCCCUUUCCGGGUCAAACGAGGGCUUCCUUCUGUGUGUAUGUGUUUGUGUGUGUGCGCGCACACACAUGCGUGAGUUCACACUGAUAUUCCACUAAGUACAGCGCAUGCUUAACUGAAAUUCUAGACAAAAGUUCACAUCCGGUUGGUACAUGUAAGAAGCUCAUUUCUAAUUUAUCAGGUGGCAUAAAUAGACCAUAAAAUUAUCUUCAUUUAUAGUGCUAAAGAUAUGCCAAUACAUUUUCUUACGUUUAGGGUCCUAAACCUGUUGAAUGAAUUCUAUAUACAAGACUUACAGUUGUCCUUCUAUAAAUUAAGACUGAAUUUGCUAAUCUUUGUUGUAUUGCUAUUGAUGAGUCUAUAAUUGUCAACCUUGACAGUAACAAAACUCAAGAUAGUUUUAUCUCUUAGUGUGAGCAAAUAAGAUUUUUUAAGAGCUUUCCUUUGGAAUAUUUUUCUAUUACAGAAGUUGAUGCUCGAUAUUUUUAUCCAUUCCUGAUAUCAUUUCUUGAUCUACUACAUCAUUAACAAGAGCUUGGGAUUGCUUCAGGGAUUCUACGGAUGUUCUCCCAUAACCUCUUGAAGUGAUGCAAUGCGACGAUCUUCAACCAUGAAAAUGAAACUGCCAGCGUGGACGGAAACUGCCAGCAUGGACGGCCUACUCCUAUGAUCUCACAGGUUCUUGCUUACACUGGGAAUGAUGAGGCUAACAAGUUUUUCCUUGGAGGUGAGAUGUCACUUGACAACACGAAGCUUCAGCUGCAGCAGCGUCUUGCCUGCGUCAUAUAUUUUGUAUUAUGUUUUUGUGGGCAUGGUUCUGAACUUUGGCAUCGAUGGAUAGAAUUUCGUCCAAACUAUAAUGUUGUUGUUCAAGUGUAGGAUAAUUCGUUUUGAUGUCUCUGUUGUGUGUGCGCGGGCAUGUGCCAAAGGCGUCUAAUAGAACCCAGGUGAAGGCGAAGGAGGUUUGGCUCUCAGACAUGUGUAACACUCGAUGAUAACAACGUGCAGACUGAAAAUAUGGAUCCCAAUUUCAAAGCCAUAUCCAAUUAGUUUGUCUCUCAAAAAAAUACAACAAAUGCUAAAGGAUGAUUUACCCAUGGAGGCAUGGACCGAGAUUGCUUUAAUUUGGUCGUACAGAAGAUUAUGUUUGAUGACAUCCAAAUGGCACAAAAAACAAAACAAUUGAUAGACAAACAUUAUCUCGACAUGAAAUUUUGGACUUGCUUGCUGGUGGCUGGUGCCCUGCAGGGACCAGGUGGUGCCGUCGGCUGCGGCGCCGCCGCCACCGUCGUUGCAGCAGCUAGGCCGGGAGUAGCCGAGCAGGGAAGAAGCAUAAUUGUUUUCUAUAUUCUGCUCCUCCCACCGACCAGUUGAGGGUUGGAGUCAUCGGACAGCGCCGUCAGGCGUCAGCUAAGUUAAAGAAUUGAGAAUUGGACGACUGGCCGGUUUGUACGGCUGCUCUUAGUGCUCUGCCGAUUUGGCCUUCGGAUUGUUGCCUGCUUAACUGCUUGUGGGAUGUAUAAGCACAAAAAACAGUUCAAAAAAUUACAAAUGAAAUAUAAUAUUUCAAAAAAAAUGUUCAUCACCAUAAAAAUGAUAAUUUUUUAAAAAUAUUCUCGAAUUUUUUAUUUAAAAUACACCUCAUAAUAAAAAUAUUUGUGCUUUCUGAACAACCAAAAAAAAUACUUUCAUCUGAUGAAAUGAAAGUGCAUAGCUGAAAUAGGUAUGACGAACAUUGUUAGGGUACGACCAAAUUUCAUGGUCCAAAAAAAUCAUAGUUAAAAAAGGCGCGCCUAGAUUCUAGGCGUUGGCAAAUACUCAGUGUAAUCUUAUUUUUGACGUUUGCAAAAGUAGGACUAAAAAGUGUUGAAUAAUGGCACAUGGAGCAGGUUUUAAUUUUUUGCCCCGAGAUCUCCACUCGUCUCCUUUCAUUCAUUUUUUCUUUCCUUUUCCUGGUCGCUGGGGUCAAAGGGUAUGCAAAACUUAAUUAGGCACUGUAGAGUUGGCUGUGCGAUAGAUGCAAAACUUAAUUAGGCACUGUAAAGUUGGUUGUGCGAUAGGGGAAAUGACUUUGAUGCUUAGCUCAGACGUUUGCUUAGUAUGCUUAGAGUUGGCUGUUUGCUUAGUAUGCUUAGGGAUUGAUGUGGUUCAUGUUUUGUCUGUACCGCCCUAUUUUGGUGUUAGGUUGAUUUUCCAUCAGACAUGUCGAGCUGUUGUCGCUGGUUUAUGAUGCAUUGGCUUGCUGUAGGCUGGGUGCACAAGAUUUUGUAGACCAAAACAUGUCAAAAUUUAAUUCGGACGGGUCUUCUGCAAAUAAUUUUCAUCUUCAAACAUGCCUUGAGUAGAUUAUUUAAUCAUUUUAUAAGAAUCAAUUUAACUUUGUAUUGUUGCAGCUUCAUUAUAUAUGCACUUACCAGUGCAUCUAAAGGUUCAACAAUGCAAAAACCACCAUCAGUCUUGGCUAGAUUGACAUCAGAAGAAAGAUGAUGGUGAAUCAUGAACCACGUAUAAUCCUCAGCCUAGAUUGCAUGCUCUUUAUUUUAAAAAUCUUCCUUUAAUGGCUGUCAAAAUGGUAUGCGCAAGCAAGAACCGCAGUAUCAAUGCGAAGACUUGAGGUAGAAGGUAGUAUUAUUGAGCUUACAAGUUACUCCAUCCGUCCCAAAUAUGAAAAUAUGCUAAUGAUGCCGAGAGAAGAGAGCAUGCGUACAAUCCAUGAACAUGAUGUACAACAAGAGAUGGUAUGAUUUCUUCGGAGAACCAUCUUGAUUCUUCUUUUUUUCUUCAUAAUAUUGCUAACCAUUGAGAUUGUGGUGCGGAAGGUCGCGGGCGCUAGAGAUUGUGGCACGGUUUAGAGGGUUGGCCGGCGGCGGAGGCGGCGACUCGGAUUUUUGCUGCGAUCCCGUGGGCGCACAGGUGCAGUGCUGUGAGGGCUGAACAUGUAGUGCGCUGGCGCCGGCUUGCAUUUCACGGACAAAAUUGUGGAUUUAUUUUUGAGGUCCCUCGUCAUUGUAAUUUGUAUGUAUUUGUACUAUGGCUUAUAAACAGCAGCAUUGCAGCCCCGACUCGUAGCCCAUAGACGCACCAAACACAACUCUCCCAAAAAACGUGCAUUGAAGAAAACAAACAAUACUUUUUUUUGAAAUGCAGCUCACUUGCUUGA